rnacentral:rRNA from 1 species
UACGUAGGGUGCGAGCGUUAAUCGGAAUUACUGGGCGUAAAGCGUGCGUAGGCGGUUCUCCAAGUCCGUUGUGAAAGCCCCGGGCUCAACCUGGGAAUGGCAGUGGAAACUAGGGGACUGGAAUCUGGCAGAGGGGGGUGGAAUUCCGCGUGUAGCAGUGAAAUGCGUAGAGAUGCGGAGGAACACCGAUGGCGAAGGCAGCCCCCUGGGCUAACACUGACGCUCAGGCACGAAAGCGUGGGGAGCAAACAGG